AUUGAACGCUGGCGGCAUGCCUUACACAUGCAAGUCGAACGGCAGCAUGGAAGAGCUUGCUCUUCUGAUGGCGAGUGGCGAACGGGUGAGUAAAGCAUCGGAACGUACCGUGUAGUGGGGGAUAACGUAGCGAAAGUUACGCUAAUACCGCAUACGCACUGAGGUGGAAAGCAGGGGAUCGCAAGACCUUGCGCUAUACGAGCGGCCGAUGUCAGAUUAGCUAGUUGGUAGGGUAAAGGCCUACCAAGGCGACGAUCUGUAGCGGGUCUGAGAGGAUGAUCCGCCACACUGGGACUGAGACACGGCCCAGACUCCUACGGGAGGCAGCAGUGGGGAAUUUUGGACAAUGGGCGAAAGCCUGAUCCAGCCAUGCCGCGUGAGUGAAGAAGGCCU
rnacentral:rRNA from 1 species